rnacentral:rRNA from 1 species
GAUGAACGCUAGCGGCAGGCCUAACACAUGCAAGUCGAGGGGCAGCGGGGUGUAGCAAUACACUGCCGGCGACCGGCGCACGGGUGCGUAACGCGUAUGCAACCUGCCCGCGACAGGGGGAUAACCGGUGGAAACGCCGACUAAUACCCCGUAACGCACUGUCUCGCAUGGGAUGGUGCUGAAAGCCUCCGGGUGGUCGCGGAUGGGCAUGCGUGGCAUUAGGCAGCAGGCGGGGUGACGGCCCACCUGGCCUUCGAUCAGUAGGGGUUCUGAGAGGAAGGUCCCCCACACUGGAACUGAGACACGGUCCAAACUCC